UACGUAGGGUGCGAGCGUUGUCCGGAAUUAUUGGGCGUAAAGGAGCUGUAGGCGGUUUGUCGCGUCAUGCCGUGAAACGUCCGGGGCUCAACUCCGGAGUCUGCGGUGGGUACGGGCAGACUAGAGGUGAUGUAGGGGAGACUGGAAUUCCUGGUGAGCGGAGAAAUGCGCAGAUAUCAGGAGGAACACCGGAGUGGCGAAGGCAGGUCUCCUGGGCAUUAACUGACGCUGAGGAGCGGAAAGCCAUGGGGAGCGAACAGGAUUAGACUACCCCA
rnacentral:rRNA from 1 species